rnacentral:misc_RNA from 1 species
CGUGCAAAAAGUAUUGGACAGUGACACCCACAAGUUGCGAAGACGCAUAAAACAGCUGCAACUAGUACAGGGCACAGAUCAUCCACCAAAACUCUCUCUAAGAGGGAUGGAGCAUUGCCACUUAAUUUCAGAGAUUGAAGUGCUCGUCCUUGACAGAGGUUGAAAUUGUCAAAGAAAAUAAUCAGCAGGAGCCUCAGGGUUCUGAGAUCAAUGUUUCCCCCGACCACCGCUGGAGAAAAAUGCAGGAAUCGUUUCCCAACCUCUGUAUUGUGAGGAUCUGCGACUGUCCAAUAAAGAACGUGACGUGCCUC